UGGGGAAUUUUGGACAAUGGGGGAAACCCUGAUCCAGCCAUCCCGCGUGUGCGAUGAAGGCCUUCGGGUUGUAAAGCACUUUUGGCAGGAAAGAAACGUCAUGGGUUAAUACCCCGUGAAACUGACGGUACCUGCAGAAUAAGCACCGGCUAACUACGUGCCAGCAGCCGCGGUAAUACGUAGGGUGCAAGCGUUAAUCGGAAUUACUGGGCGUAAAGCGUGCGCAGGCGGUUCGGAAAGAAAGAUGUGAAAUCCCAGAGCUCAACUUUGGAACUGCAUUUUUAACUACCGAGCUAGAGUGUGUCAGAGGGAGGUGGAAUUCCGCGUGUAGCAGUGAAAUGCGUAGAUAUGCGGAGGAACACCGAUGGCGAAGGCAGCCUCCUGGGAUAACAAUGAAGCUCAUGCACGAAAGCGUGGGGAGCAAACAGG
rnacentral:rRNA from 1 species